CAGUGCGCAGGCGCGCUCCCGUUCGCGGUCCCCAACGGACUCACCCGCGGCGGGAACGAAAAGGGGCCACCCGAGCGAGGUAGGGGUCCUGAGAGGAAAUUGGCCGAGGAGAUGAGUGAGGCGAGAAGACCUGGUUGGUGGCUGAUCAGGAGAAGGGGCUCGAGCGAAGGGGCUUUGUGAGGCCUCCCAGAGGAAGAUGCUGCUGCCACCUGCCUGGUGUUCCUGAACCUCCAGGUUUCUGCCACACUGCCCCAUGGAGGACACGCCCACCUCACUCAGCUGCUCUGACUGUCAGCGCCACUUUCCCAGUCUCCCGGAACUGUCCCGGCACCGCGAGCUGCUCCAUCCAUCUUCCCAGCAGGACAGUGAGGAGGCAGACAGCAUCCCUCGGCCCUACCGCUGUCAGCAGUGUGGGCGUGGCUACCGUCACCCGGGGAGCUUGGUCAACCACCGGCGGACCCACGAGACUGGUCUUUUCCCCUGUACCACCUGUGGCAAGGACUUUACCAAUCCCGUGGCCCUCAAGAGCCACAUGAGGACUCAUGCUCCCGAGGGCCGCCGUAGGCGCAGGCCUCCCCGCUCCAAGGAAGUCAUUCCGCGCCUGCAGGGGGAAACAGCAUCCUCUGACUCUAGGGACCAGAGGCUUAGCCCUGGGGAAAGCUGGACAAGCCAGAAAAAACAUGCCGAAGAGACAUCUGGCUGUGAGUCUGGGCCUGACCCCAGGGCAGCUCUGAGCGCUAGGGAGGAUCCACCCACCAGACAAAGAGAAGGCUGGGAAAGGCAGCCAGAUUCUGAGGAGGGUGCAGAGGGCUGGGGGCCCACUACCAGUUCUGCCAGAGCCACCCCGCUCCCCACCGCAGCCAGCAGCCUCCUUAGCAAUUUGGAACAGUAUUUGGCUGAAUCCGUAGUGAACUUCGCCGGGGGCCACGAGCCCCCUCAGUCAACUCGUGCUGAGGAGGAACGGCGGUACAAGUGCGCUCAGUGCGGCAAGACUUACAAGCAUGCCGGGAGCCUGACCAAUCACCGCCAGAGCCACAGCCUGGGCGUCUACCCUUGUGCCAUCUGCUUCAAGGAGUUCUCUAACCUCAUGGCCCUGAAGAACCACUCCCGACUCCAUGCCCAGUAUCAGCCUUACCAGUGUCCUCACUGUCCCCGUGCCUUCCGGCUCCCCCGAGAGCUGCUGGACCACCAACAGUCCCAUGAGGGUGAAAGGCAGGAGCGGCUAUGGGAAGGGAAAGGGACGCCCGCCACCAACGGGCACGUGGAGGAGAGCAGCCAGGACCAGCUCCCGACUACACAGAUGCUGAACUGCUCCGGGGAGCGCAGCGCCUCUGGGGAGCUGGAGGACGGUGGCCUAGAGGAGUACCGGCCUUUCCGCUGUGGGGACUGCGGCCGCACUUACCGCCAUGCUGGGAGCCUCAUCAACCAUCGCAAGAGCCACCAGACAGGUGUCUACCCCUGUUCCAUCUGUUCCAAGCAGCUGUUCAACGCGGCUGCCCUCAAAAACCAUGUGCGGGCUCAUCACAGACCCCGGCAGGGAGCCGGGGAGGAUGGGCAGCCAUCAGUGCCACCAGCCCCCCUGCCUGGGGCUGAUACCCCUCACAAAGAGGAAGAGGUCCCUGCCACCACCCUGGACCACCGCCCCUAUAAGUGCGACGAGUGUGGUCGGGCUUACCGCCACCGGGGGAGCCUGGUGAACCACCGCCACAGCCAUCGGACAGGAGAGUACCAGUGCUCACUCUGUCCCCGCAAGUACCCCAACCUUAUGGCCCUGCGUAACCACGUGCGGGUCCAUUGCAAAGCUGCUCGCCGCAGCGCAGGCCCAGGGGCUGAGGGUCCCCCCAGCCACCUCAAGGGAGAGCUCCCUCCUGACCAAGUGGAAGCAGAGGCAGCCCCACAUACAGAUCAGGGGCGUGGGUGCAAACACGAAGAGGAGGCGGCUGCGGCCGAUGUCCCCCCAGCAGCAAAUAGGACAGCACCACAGAUCUGUAGCGUGUGUGGGAUGCUCUUUGAAGACCCUGAGAGCCUUGAACGUCACGGCCGGACCCAUGGGGAUGGGGAAGACAGCAGGACAGAAACCAGGGCGUCCCCUCCUCGGGCAUUUGCUUGCCAAGAUUGUGGAAAGAGCUAUCGCCACUCAGGCAGUCUUAUCAACCACAGGCAGACCCACCAGACGGGGGACUUCAGCUGUGGGGCCUGCGCCAAGCACUUCCACACCAUGGCCGCCAUGAAGAACCAUUUGCGACGCCACAGUGGGCGGUGGGGCCGACAGCACGGGAGGCGGGCCAGCAGUGCUGGCAGUGGGGGUGAAGCCAAACUCCCGUCAGGCGGGAACUGGGCCCAGGACUUCGUGGGAAACAGCAAGGGCCUGGACUGUGCGCGAGACCCUUCAGGGGGAGGUCCUAAUGGAACCGCAGGCAGCUCGGAAAGCAAUGAGGGCUGUCUGCAGACUGAAGCCGAAAGGGCUAGAUGUGGGCUCGAGCGGGCGGAGGCCCGUAUCCAGGGUGAUAAAGAGAGCAGGGGUACUGAGGAAGGGCUGGAAAGGAAGGAGGCCUGUUUCCUAGACAACUUGGACAUCCCAGGCAAUGAGGAAAGCAAUGGGACUCGCUUCUGUGAUGGUCUCCCUGGGGUGGACGAAGACCGGAAACGAGCCCCUGGCCAGCCCAGCUCCCCGCACCACUCUCCUGUCACUGGCUGGCAGGCGGAGGUCUCCCACACGUGUUCGGACUGUGGGCAUUCUUUUCCUCAUGCCACCGGCCUGCUGAGCCACAGGCCGUGCCACCCCCCGGGCAUCUAUCAGUGCUCCCUCUGCCCGAAGGAGUUUGACUCUCUGCCUGCCCUGCGCAGCCACUUCCAGAACCACGGACCCGGGGAGGCCGCCCCUGCACAGCCUUUCCUCUGCUGCCUCUGCGGCAUGAUCUUCCCGGGACGGGCUGGCUACAGGCUUCACCGGCGCCAGGCUCAUGACUCCUCUGGCCUGACCGAGGGGGAGGAAGAGGAGGGGGAGGAGGAAGGAGCCGCAGGGGCAGCCUCCACCCGGAGCCCUCCGCUGCAGCUCUCUGAAGCAGAGCUGUUGAAUCAGCUGCAGCGGGAGGUGGAGGCGCUGGACGGAGCUGGUUAUGGGCACAUCUGUGGCUGCUGCGGUCAGACCUAUGAUGACCUAGGGAGCUUGGAGCGUCACCACCAAAGCCAGACUUCUGGGAACACCACAGACAAACCUCCCAGCCACUUAGGAGAGUCAGGCGAUGCCAUGGGAAGGGUUGCAGGUGACGACCGUGUCUUUGAGGGCACGGUGACCUCUCUCUCUGGGGAAGGUGGGGACACAAAGUCUGGAGAGGGAGUGGGUGCUAUGGUUGUAGACAGCCUUUGCAUGCGGGGGGAGGAAAGUCCGCCAGAGGCCCAGCCCCGCCCCUUCCGCUGCAACCAGUGUGGCAAGACCUAUCGCCACGGGGGCAGCCUGGUGAACCACCGCAAGAUCCACCAGACUGGAGACUUCAUCUGUCCCGUCUGCUCCCGCUGCUACCCCAACCUGGCUGCCUAUCGGAAUCACCUGCGAAACCACCCGCGCUGCAAGGGCUCCGAGCCCCAGUUGGGGCCCGCCCCGGAGGCCGGAGGCAGCAGCGAGCCUCGGAACGUGGCAGAAGAAGGGCUGGGGCAGGCAGAUGGCGGAAAGCUCCAGGAAGAACUUAAAGUGGAGCCCUCGGAGGAGGUGGCAAGGGUGAAAGAGGAGGAGUGGGGGGAGGCCACCGUGAAGGGGGAGGAGGUGGAGCCGAGGCUGGAGACGGCAGAGAAGAGCUGCCAGACCGAGGCCAGCUCUGAGCGGCCCUUCAGCUGUGAGGUGUGCGGCCGGUCGUACAAGCACGCUGGCAGCCUCAUCAAUCACCGGCAGAGCCACCAGACUGGCCACUUCGGCUGCCAGGCCUGCUCCAAAGGCUUCUCAAACCUCAUGUCCCUCAAGAACCACCGGCGCAUCCAUGCAGAUCCUCGGCGGUUCCGCUGCGGUGAAUGUGGGAAGGCCUUCCGCCUGCGGAAGCAGCUGGCCAGCCACCAGCGGGUCCACGCCGAGCGGGGCGCGAGCGGGGGCACCCGGAAGCUGACGCGGGAAGAUCGGCCCUUCAGGUGCGGGCAGUGUGGGCGCACCUACCGCCAUGCCGGCAGCCUCCUGAACCACCGGCGCAGCCACGAGACCGGCCAGUACAGCUGCCCCACAUGCCCCAAGACCUACUCCAACAGCAUGGCCCUGAAGGACCACCAGCGGCUGCACUCAGAGAGCCGGCGGCGGCGAGCAGGGCUGUGCCGGCGGGCAGCUGUGCGCUGUGCCCUGUGUGGCCGGGGUUUCCCUGGCCGGGGAGCUCUGGAGCAGCACCUGCGAGAGCAUGAAGAGGAGACCAAAAGUGGUCAGAGAGGCACGGAGGACAGUGAGGGGACCCUGGCCGAUGACCAGGGACUAGAGGAAAGGUCGGGUGGUCCUGAGUCAGUUCUCCAGCUGGAGGACAGAGCCAGGAGGCUGCGGGAGCAGAGGCCGAGCCCCACCGGGGCAGCAGGUUCAGAACCCACCGAGCCGGGACCCGGGGACGUGGGGAAUGCCGAAGAGAGGCAAGGAGACGGGGGGCCAGUGAGUCGCGGUGGAGAUUGGGUUCCUCGGGGUCAUGUACUGACCAAGCCAGCAGAUGAGUCAGAGGAUAGUAUCCCCAAGAGUCCUUGCCAUCUUGGCAACACCCAGCCCAACGGACCUAGUCUGAGUUCUGUGGCUGGCUGGCACAGUGCAGACAGCCGACCUCAGCUCCAGCCCGAGAGUCCCCCAUUUUCCUGCAGCCGUUGUGGCAAGACAUACUGCCAGUCGGAAGGCCCUUUGAACCGCCACAGCACCCCCGAGACAGACUGCCACCAUUGCCUGCCCUGCUCCAAGGAGUUCUCGAACCCUGUGGCCACUAAGAGCCACAGCCGCAACCACGUAGCUGCCCAGACCUUUGCCUGCCCCGACUGUGGUAAGGCUUUUCAGGCCCAUCAUGAACUAGCCAGCCACCUGCACACUCAGGCCAGCGGCCUCAGUCAGAUGCCACCCCAGAUACGGGAGGCCACAGGACCUGAAGGUGGGACUGUGGAGGAUGAGGUAGAUAGCCCCGGCCAAGGGGAAAUCCAGAAGUCCCCACCGGAACCCCCCAGGGGCCCAGGAGAGAAUGCUGGGAGAGCUGAUGGGGGGCAAGGAGUAAAGUCCCCAGUGGCUGAAGACGAGGAACGGCCCUUCCGCUGUGCCCAGUGUGGGCGGUCCUACCGCCACGCCGGUAGCCUGCUGAACCAUCAGAAGGCCCACACCACUGGACUCUACCCCUGCUCCCUCUGCCCCAAACUUCUACCCAAUCUGCUGUCCCUUAAGAACCAUGGCAGGACCCACACAGACCCCAAGCGCCACCGCUGCAGCGUCUGUGGCAAGGCCUUCCGGACUGCUGCCCGGCUGGAGGGUCAUGGGCGGGUCCAUGCACCUCGGGAGGGGCCCUUCACUUGCCCUCACUGUCCCCGCCACUUCCGUCGCCGAGUCAGCUUCCAGCAGCACCAGCAGCAGCACCAGGAGGAAUGGACAGUGGCCAGCUCUGGAGUCCCAAAGGCACCAGCAGCGGGGAGAGGGGACUUGUCAUUGCCCCCUCCUCCCACCCCCACGACCUCACUUCUGGAUCCUUCACCCCAGUGGCCUGCAGACCUCAGCUUCUCCCUCUAAACUUCAAGUCUCCAAAGAUCAGAAUACGGGCGGGGUGGGGGGGGGGGUGGCGGGUUGCAGGGAAAGGCUUGAUCUCCAUGUUUUGCUCAGGAGUAGUUAGGCAUCCCCAUCUCUCACUCUCCUCUCCCACUGUGCAGAGGGCCCAGAUCUCGCUUCUUGCCCAAGGAGGGGCUAAGGUAUUCCUCAUGUCCUUGUCCUUGAAGGCUCUCCUUUCCCCAGCCUUUGUCACUAUGCUCUUCCCUAUGACCAGCCCUGCAAGAAACCCGGUGCCAGGCUCUGCCACGAUGUGGGGCCACGGUCACCAGCCAGAUUCCAACACCAAGGAGAGGCCGAUUCAGAGAGCCACAGCAUCCCAGAGCCACCUGUCAACAGCCAGCUGGUUUGCCUGUCAGGAAGAGGAAGGAGGGUGGGGUUGGCCUCAUCCUCAGAACUUUCCUCCCUCCCUGGAAGAGGAAGAAGGUACUACUUAACCCCCAUGACAGAUGAGAAAACUGAGGUUUGAAGAAGUUGAGAGGCCUGCUCCAAGUCACAAUGAUGAAGAACCAGAAUUUUGUCCACUUACCCCCCGCCCGCCGCCCUCCGGGGCAGCUAGAGGUGGGUCAGAACAGAUCUUUUCCCUGGAUUGAGAGAGCAUGGGUCUGGA